AACGAACGCUGGCGGCAUGCCUAACACAUGCAAGUCGAACGAGAUCUUCGGGUCUAGUGGCGCACGGGUGCGUAACGCGUGGGAAUCUGCCCUUUGGUUCGGAAUAACAGUUGGAAACGACUGCUAAUACCGGAUGAUGACGAAAGUCCAAAGAUUUAUCGCCAGAGGAUGAGCCCGCGUAGGACUAGCUAGUUGGUGUGGUAAAGGCGCACCAAGGCGACGAUCCUUAGCUGGUCUGAGAGGAUGAUCAGCCACACUGGGACUGAGACACGGCCCAGACUCCUACGGGAGGCAGCAGUGGGUAAUAUUGGACAAUGGGCGAAAGCCUGAUCCAGCAAUGCCGAGUGAGUGAUGAAGGCCCUAGGGUUGUAAAGCUCUUUUACCCGGGAUGAUAAGGACAGUACCGGGAGAAUAAGCCCCGGCUAACUCCGUGCCAGCCGCCGCAGUAA
rnacentral:rRNA from 1 species